rnacentral:rRNA from 1 species
GACGAACGCUGGCGGCGUGCCUAAUACAUGCAAGUAGAACGCUGAAGGAGGAGCUUGCUUCUCCGGAUGAGUUGCGAACGGGUGAGUAACGCGUAGGUAACCUGCCUGGUAGCGGGGGAUAACUAUUGGAAACGAUAGCUAAUACCGCAUAAGAGUAGAUGUUGCAUGACAUUUGCUUAAAAGGUGCAAUUGCAUCACUACCAGAUGGACCUGCGUUGUAUUAGCUAGUUGGUGGGGUAACGGCUCACCAAGGCGACGAUACAUAGCCGACCUGAGAGGGUGAUCGGCCACACUGGGACUGAGACACGGCCCAGACUCCUACGGGAGGCAGCAGUAGGGAAUCUUCGGCAAUGGACGGAAGUCUGACCGAGCAACGCCGCGUGAGUGAAGAAGGUUUUCGGAUCGUAAAGCUCUGUUGUAAGAGAAGAACGAGUGUGAGAGUGGAAAGUUCACACUG